CUAAAACUGAGCAUCAAUGGAUCUGGGAUUAGCAGUGUGCUCACCCGUUUCAAGGAGAAUGUCCAGAAUAUGUGGAAGCAAACUGAUGAAUGGGCUGCCACUGUUCAUGAUGGAACAGAUGAGCCAGGCCGAUGAGUAACCAACACAGCGCCGGUGAUGAAGGAGGCAUGCGACACAGUCAUCUCCCAGGUGGAGCAGAGGUUUUGGCAUAGUGACCACCUGAUCGCUGCGAAGCUGGUUGACAGCUCGCUCUUCCCACAAUAUGUCCUGUCAUUCCCUACAUCUGAGCUUGACUGUGCAGUGAAACUAUGGCCUCUAGGAAACGAGGAAAAGUUGAAGUCUGAGCUGACCACUCUGUACUGCCACACUGAGCUUCACACUGGUAAGACCCUGUCUCUGUUAAGAUCCAUCCAUGAGAAGAACCUAGAGGAGGCUUUUGCUGAGAUCGUCACUCUGCUGAAAAUGAUCAUAACAACACCAAUGAUGACAUCUGAGUCAGAGAGGAACUUUUCCACCUUAAAGAGGGUAAAAACCUUCACUCGUAAUACCAUGGGACAGCCGCGACUCAACGCAUUGGCCAUGUUGUCCAUCGAAAGCCAGCUGAUUCAGCAGCUACAUGACUUCAUUCCCGAAUAUGUGUACUACAACACCUGGUAGAAGCAAGUCGCUCUGUCGUUAAAAGUGUUUUGUGGAGCCACGCUGUUUGUUGAUGUGUUAAAUAAACACAUCAGUAUCAAGAGGGAGUUUUGUAGCUUAACUGAAUGAGUCUGGAGGAUUCUGUGAUGGCGAGCCCAGCUCAAUGAGACGGUGGACGGCCGAGGAAGCAGAGUGGCCAACCGUAUUACCUGUUCCCAAGAGACGUCUGACCAGCUCGAUUCAUUCACCCAGACACCAGAUAAGAUUUCUGUACACAUUAUUACCUCUAUUAGGGUAGAUGGUAAUAGUAGUAGUACAUACAUAUCACACACAGACAAGGAACCGAACGUUUGGACCAACAUAUUAGGGAAAAGACAAGAUCUUGAGCCCAUAUUUUUUCCUGAUCUGGUAAUCUAACCAGGUUAACCAUUUAAUGGUGCCAGACCAAGGCUCUGCGUCUGAGCUUGUGCUUAUUGA
ensembl:lncRNA